rnacentral:rRNA from 1 species
AUCGAACGCUGGCGGCAGGCCUAACACAUGCAAGUCGAGCGGAUGAAUGGAGCUUGCUCCUGGAUUCAGCGGCGGACGGUUGAGUAAUGCCUAGUAAUCUGCCUGGUAGUGGGGGAUAACGUCCUGAUACGGGCGCUAAUACCGCAUACGUCCUGAUGUAGAAAUUGGAGGAGCUUCGGACCUCACGCUAUCAUAUGAGCCUAGGUCGGAUUAGCUAGUUGGUGGGGUAAAGGCCUACCAAGGCGACGAUCCGUAACUGGUCUGAGAGGAUGAUCAGGCACACUGGAACUGAGACACGGUACAGACUCCUACGGGAGGCAGCAGUGGGGAAUCUUGCACGAUGGGGGAAAGCGUGAUCCAGCCAAGCCGCGUGUGUGAAGACGGUCUUCGGAUUGUAAAACAAUUUAAGUUGGGAGGAAGUGAAGUAAGUUCAUACGUUGCUGUAUUGGCGUUACCAACAGAAUAAGCACCGGCUAACUUCGUG